rnacentral:rRNA from 1 species
CAGGUAGGACUACCCGCUGAACUUAAGCAUAUCAUA